UACGUAGGGUGCAAGCGUUAAUCGGAAUUACUGGGCGUAAAGCGUGCGCAGGCGGCUUUACAAGACAGAUGUGAAAUCCCCGGGCUCAACCUGGGAACUGCAUUUGUGACUGCAAGGCUGGAGUACGGUAGAGGGGGAUGGAAUUCCGCGUGUAGCAGUGAAAUGCGUAGAUAUGCGGAGGAACACCGAUGGCGAAGGCAAUCCCCUGGACCUGUACUGACGCUCAUGCACGAAAGCGUGGGGAGCAAACAGG
rnacentral:rRNA from 1 species